CGUUACACCAAGUGAUUAACUUAUAUAAUUAGGUAAAAAGAUAGCUAAGCAUUAAAAAUUAAAGCUUAUUGAUCAUUUGUAUAAAAGUAAAAUUUGUAUAUUAAUAGUUAAUCUAAAAAUGACUUAAAUGCUGAAGUUAUGAUAAUCUUGAGGGAAACUAGGAUUAGAUACCCUACUAUUCUUGAUUGUAAAUAGAAUAAAUUUACCAGAGUACUAUGCAUAAAUAAAAUUUAAAACUCAAAGGGCUUGGCGGUGUUUUAGACCUAUCAGGGGAACCUGUCUCGUAAUCGACAGUCCGCGUUAUACCUGACCUUAUUUUGUAGUCCAGUUUGUAUACCGUCGUCGUCAGGUAACUUUUAAAAAUAGAGAAGUUGGCAAUGGAAAUUUAAUAAGUUCAGACGUCAGAUCAAGGUGCAGCUUAUAAUAAGGAGAGGAUGGGUUACAAUUAUAAUAAUUAUAAUCACGGAAAUUUAAGUGAAAAUAUUUUUGAAGGAGGACUGAAAGUAAUUGAAUUAUAUAAAUAAAUUGAAUAAGGCUCUG
rnacentral:rRNA from 1 species